rnacentral:rRNA from 1 species
AUUGAACGCUGGCGGCAGGCCUAACACAUGCAAGUCGAGCGGCAGCGGGAAGUAGCUUGCUACUUUGCCGGCGAGCGGCGGACGGGUGAGUAAUGUCUGGGGAUCUGCCUGAUGGAGGGGGAUAACUACUGGAAACGGUGGCUAAUACCGCAUAACGUCGCAAGACCAAAGUGGGGGACCUUCGGGCCUCACACCAUCGGAUGAACCCAGAUGGGAUGAGCUAGUAGGUGGGGUAAUGGCUCACCUAGGCGACGAUCCCUAGCUGGUCUGAGAGGAUGACCAGCCACACUGGGACUGAGACACGGCCCAGACUCCUACGGGAGGCAGCAGUGGGGAAUAUUGCACAAUGGGGGCAACCCUGAUGCAGCCGUGCCGCGUGUAUGAAGAAGGCCUUCGGGUUGUAAAGUACUUUCAGCGAGGAGGAAGGUGGUGAACUUAAUACGUUCAUCAAUUGACGUUACUCGCAGAAGAAGCACCGGCUAACUCCGUGCCAGCCGCCGCGGUAAUAC